GGAGCNAUCCUGAUUAAGUGGCGCACGGGUGAGUAACACGUGCGAUGAUCUACCUCCUCGUGGGGAAUAACCCUGGGAAACCGGGGCUAAUACUNGCAUACGUUCGAGAGAAGAAAGCCGAAAGGCGCAGGGAGAGGAGUCCGCGGUCGAUUAGCUAGUUGGCAGGGUAAUGGCCUACCAAGGCGACGAUCGAUAGCCGGCCUGAGAGGGCACACGGCCACACUGGCACUGAAACACGGGCCAGACUCCUACGGGAGGCAGCAGUGGGGAAUCUUGCACAAUGGGGGAAACCCUGAUGCAGCGACGCCGCGUGAACGAUGAAGCCCUUCGGGGUGUAAAGUUCUUUCGACGGGGACGAUAAUGACGGUACCCGGAGAAGAAGCUGCGGCUAACUACGUGCCAGCAGCCGCGGUAAUACGUAGGCAGCAAGCGUUGUUCGGAAUUACUGGGCGUAAAGAGUGCGUAGGCGGUUAACUAAGUUUGGUGUGAAAUCUCCCGGCUUAACUGGGAGGGUGCGCCGAAAACUGGNUANCUAGAGUGUGGGAGAGGAUAGUGGAAUUCCUGGNGUAGCGGUGAAAUGCGUAUAUAUCAGGAGGAACACCUGCGGUGUAGACGGCCAUCUGGACCAUGAACUGACGCUGAGGCACGAAAGCGU
rnacentral:rRNA from 1 species